UCCAAUUAAGGAAGUAUGAUGUUCAAGAAAAAGCUGCUAACUUUUAUCUUUUAAUGGUUAAAUUCCAUUUAUACUUCU
rnacentral:tRNA from 1 species